rnacentral:rRNA from 1 species
UACGAGGGGUGCAAGCGUUGCUCGGAAUUAUUGGGCGUAAAGGGUAGGUAGGUGGUCUCAUUUGUCUGGGGUGAAAGCCUUGAGCUUAACUCAAGAAGUGCCCCGGAAACGGUGAGACUGGAGUCCUGGAGAGGGUCGUGGAAUUCCCGGUGUAGCGGUGAAAUGCGUAGAUAUCUGGAGGAACACCGGUGGCGAAGGCGGCAUCCUGGACCAACACUGACGCUGAUGAGCGAAAGCCAGGGGAGCAAACGGG